rnacentral:misc_RNA from 1 species
GAGAAGAACGUAGUGAAAUGCGAUAAGUAAUGUGAAUUGCAGAAUUCAGUGAAUCAUCGAAUCUUUGAACGCACCUUGCACUCCUUGGUAUUCCGAGGAGUACGCCUGUUCGAGUGUUAUGAAGCUCUCAAAACGCAAUUGGCUUAAAACCUGAUUGUUGUUUUGGAUUUGAACUUUGCCGUGUUAUAACGGCUGGUUUUAAAAGUAUUAGCUGGUACUAGAACGAAUUGGUUCUACUCAACGUGAUAAUUAUCUGAUCGUUGAGGACAUUCCUUUCACGAGGAAUGGCCAUAGUAAAUUCAAUGGACUGCUUCUAAUCUGGCUUUAAUUCUUUAUUGGAUUAACCACUUUUCAAAUCUGACCUCGAAUCAGGUGGGACUACCCGCUGAACUUAAGCAUAUCAAUAAGCGGAGGA